AUACCCUAUUAUUUUAAGUGUUAAUUUUGCUUACCUGGGUACUAUUAGUUAAGAUCUUUAAACCCAAAGAAUUUGGCGGUAUCUCAUUCCAUUCAGAGGAACCUACCCCGUAAUUGAUAAUACACGAUUAACUUUACUUAAUUUAUUUGUUUGUAUAUCUCCGUUAUCAGAAAAUCUUAUUGGAGUUAUAAUUUUCUUGAUUUAUAAUUGUAAAGUAUUUCAGGUCAAGGUGCAGCUUAUAAUUAAGAGGAGGUGGGUUACAAUAAAUUUUUGUUUAUUAUGAAUUUAAUGGUGAAAUACCAUUAAUAAAGGUGGAUUUGAUAGUAAUUUAAUUUAGUUAAUUUAAUUGAUAUUGGCUCUGAGGUGUGUACACAUCGCCCGUCGCUCUCA
rnacentral:rRNA from 1 species